rnacentral:rRNA from 1 species
UGGGGAAUAUUGGACAAUGGGGGCAACCCUGAUCCAGCAAUGCCGCGUGUGUGAAGAAGGCCUGCGGGUUGUAAAGCACUUUUGGCAGGGAUGAAAAGCACUGGAUUAAUAACCUAGUGUGUUGACCUAACCUGCAGAAGAAGCACCGGCUAACUCUGUGCCAGCAGCCGCGGUAAUACGUAGGGACCAAGCGUUGUUCGGAUUUACUGGGCGUAAAGGGCGCGUAGGCGGCAUGACAAGUCACUUGUGAAAUCUCUGGGCUUAACCCAGAACGGCCAAGUGAUACUGUCGCGCUAGAGUGCAGAAGGGGCAAUCGGAAUUCUUGGUGUAGCGGUGAAAUGCGUAGAUAUCAAGAGGAACACCUGAGGUGAAGACGGGUUGCUGGGCUGACACUGACGCUGAGGCGCGAAAGCCAGGGGAGCAAACGGGAUUAGAUACCCUCGUAGUCCCUGAGCGGGCUGGCAAGGCGCAU